rnacentral:lncRNA from 1 species
CUGCAUUAUUAACUUGAUUGGAUUGAGAUAAACCUAGGAUUAAGAGAUUAAUGGGUGUUUCCAGAGACAUUGGCAUGUGGGACAGUAAACUGAAGGGUAGAUUUGCUCUGAAUGUGAGCAGCACUGUCCUGUAGCUAGGAAACCCAGAAGCAGCAAAGUGAACAGAGGAAGUCGUAGAAGAUUCAAGCUCUGUUAUUCUUAAGCAGGUGUGUCUAUUGCUGAUACCAUUGUGUGUGGAUGUCAGACCCAGCUUCAUCACUUUUCCAUUGUAAAGCUAUUCCUGAGGGAGUUUCCAUUCCUCUAAUCUUGGAUGAGGCCGCACCAUUGGUCCCUCUCGUUCUGAGGCUCUAACUUCUUGGACUGAGCAGCUACUGGUUCUUCUGGUUCUCUAGUGUGCAGAUAGUCAUUGAGUAACUGUCCAGCUUCUGAUGAUGUAAGACACCCUAAUAAAUCCUGUUUUAUAGUGGUACACAUACAUUUCCUAUUAGUUCCAUUCCUCUAGAGAACCCUACCUAAUACAGAUUUUGGUACCAGAAGUGGGGGCUUUGCUGUGACUAUACCUGACCAUGUGUUUCAGAAGUGUUUGGAACUGGUUUGUGAGAGAAGUUUGGAAAAGCCUGGAGGUGCAGACUAGAGAGGCCUUAAAAUGUUGUAGGCAGAAUUUAGUGGGCAAUUACGAUGGAAGCUCAAAGGACCGGAAUGCCAACAGGAUGGUAAAGAUUGUGUGCAUAGGUUUCAGACUUUUUGUUUUUAUUACUGGGGAUUGAACCUGGGGUUUUACCACUGAGCUAUGUCCCCAGCCCUUUUAAUUUUAUUUUCCGACAAGGUCUUGCUAAGUUUCUGAGACUGGCCUUGAAUUUGUGAUCCUCUUGUCUCAGUCUCCUGAGUCAUUGGGAUUACAAGUGUGUGCCACUUUGCCCAGCUCAUGAGGUUUCAGAUGGAAUUGUGAGGACUCUAUUGGAAACUGGACUACAGGUCAUUCAUGUUACAUUCUGGCAAAGGACUUGGGUACAUUUUGUGCAUGUCCUGGGUAUUUCAAU